rnacentral:rRNA from 1 species
AUUGAACGCUGGCGGCAGGCUUAACACAUGCAAGUAGAGCGGAGUGAUGGUGCUUGCACUAUCACUUAGCGGCGGACGGGUGAGUAAUGCUUAGGAAUCUGCCUAUUAGUGGGGGACAACAUCUCGAAAGGGAUGCUAAUACCGCAUACGUCCUACGGGAGAAAGCAGGGGAUCACUUGUGACCUUGCGCUAAUAGAUGAGCCUAAGUCGGAUUAGCUAGUUGGUGGGGUAAAGGCCUACCAAGGCGAAGAUCUGUAGCGGGUGUGAGAGGAUGAACCGCCACACUGGGAAUGAGGCACGGCCCAGACCCCUACAGGAAGAAGCAGUGGGGAAUAUUGGACAAUGGGGGGAAACCUGAUCCAGCCAUGCCGCGGGUUUUAAGAAGGCCUUAUGGUUUUAAAGCAAUUUAAGCGAGGAGGAGGCUCUUUUGGUUAAAACCCAAGAUGAGUGGACGUUACUCGCAGAAUAAGCACCGGCUAACUCUGUGCCAGCAGCCGCCGUAA